ACAUCAGAUUUCCUGGUGUAACGAAUUUUACGUGCUUCUUGCAUUCGCAAGUUUAUCCCGGCCUCCCCAGGCCGGGAUUU
rnacentral:other from 1 species